rnacentral:rRNA from 1 species
ACCCGCUGAACUUAAGCAUAUCAAUAAGCGGAGGAAAAGAAACCAACAGGGAUUGCCCCAGUAACGGCGAGUGAAGCGGCAACAGCUCAAAUUUGAAAUCUGGCCCCAGGCCCGAGUUGUAAUUUGCAGAGGAUGCUUUUGGCGCGGUGCCUUCCGAGUUCCCUGGAACGGGACGCCAUAGAGGGUGAGAGCCCCGUACGGUUGGACACCAAGCCUUUGUAAAGCUCCUUCGACGAGUCGAGUAGUUUGGGAAUGCUGCUCUAAAUGGGAGGUACAUUUCUUCUAAAGCUAAAUAUUGGCCAGAGACCGAUAGCGCACAAGUAGAGUGAUCGAAAGAUGAAAAGCACUUUGAAAAGAGGGUUAAACAGCACGUGAAAUUGUUAAAAGGGAAGCGCUUGUGACCAGACUUGCGUUCGGUGAAUCACCCAGCUCUCGCGGCUGGGGCACUUCGCCGGCACAGGCCAGCAUCAGCUUGCCGUCGGGGACAAAAGCUUCAGGAACGUAGCUCCUCUCGGGGAGUGUUAUAGCCUGUUGUAUAAUACCCUUCGGCGGGCUGAGGUACGCGCUCCGCAAGGAUGCUGGCGUAAUGGUCAUCAGCGACCCGUCUUGAAACACGGACCAAGGAGUCAACCUUAUGUGCGAGUGUUUGGGUGUUAAACCCCUACGCGUAAUGAAAGUGAACGCAGGUGAGAGCUUCGGCGCAUCAUCGACCGAUCCUGAUGUUCUCGGAUGGAUUUGAGUAAGAGCAUAUAGGGUUGGACCCGAAAGAAGGUGAACUAUGCGUGUGUAGGGUGAAGCCAGAGGAAACUCUGGUGGAGGCUCGCAGCGGUUCUGACGUGCAAAUCGAUCGUCAAACAUGCGCAUGGGGGCGAAAGACUAAUCGAACCUUCUAGUAGCUGGUUUCCGCCGAAGUUUCCCUCAGGA